GGGAAACACUGUCGCUCUCUGGAAAGAAGCUGAGGGUGGUCAGGAAGGCCUCUUGGAAGAGGAGUCACUUGAACAAAGAUGUCAGUGAAGUGAGGAGGCCAACCAUGAGGAAAUCUAUGGAAGAAUAUUCCAGACAGGCAAAAAAAUGAGCACACCACUUCAGAGAUGAGCACUCACUCCCAGAGAAGCCAGCUGCCAUGUUGUGAAGGCACUAAAACAGCCUAUGCAGAGGUCCACAUGUUGAAGAACUGAGGCAUUCAGCCAACAGCCAACAAGGAACCGAGGUCUGGCAGUGACAACAGGAGAGAGAUUGGAAGCAGAUCCUCUAGCCCCAGUCAAGCCAUCAGUCGCCUGCAGCCCUAGCUGACAACUUGACUGUGACCUCAUGGGAAACUCUGAGCCAAACCACCCCACUAAGCUCUGCCUAGAUUCCUGACCCACAAAAACAGUGAGAUAAUAAAUGUUUGUUGUUUUAAGCUGCUAAGGUUUGAGGUAACUUGUAACAUAGCAACAGAUAACUAAUAUGACGGGGUUUGAUUAAUUUGCUGAUCUAAAGAGCUGAAUAUUCCUUGAGGGCAGGAGUCAUGUCUUAAUAUUUAAGGCCUCUUGUUGCAUGCAGUACAUGGUCUGUGUUCAACAAAUAUGUUGCAACCUGAAAAGGUAAAAAGAAAACUGGAGAAGCUGGCAAAGUAGUCUGGACACAUCCUGGUAGGGACCCAAUAAAGGGUCAUGAGAUAUAACCAUUCAGGGUAAAGAUUUGUUUGAAAUAAAAUGUGGUAAUGACUUUAUUUCUUGAUACUGCUUUAAGGAUUUGUAUUGCUUGUAAGUGUAUGUACUUUAAUAAUCUUACGUGCUUCAGAAGUCCAUAAAUCCAAAAUGACUCCAAAUUGUAGAGCUCUAAACGUGUAACAACUGAUUGAUCCCAUUAAUGCUUGGACACUUGUCAGAAACAAGGAGAAAUAGAGUGCAAUGGACUGAAUAUUUGUGCUCCUCCAAAAUUCAUGUAUUGAAAUCCUAACUCUCAAUGUGAUGUUAUCAGGAAGUGGGGCCUUUGAGAGGUAAUUAGGACAUGAUGGGAGAACUGUCAUGAAUGGGAUUAGUGCCCUUAUAAAGGGACUCCAGAGACCUCUCUAGCCCUCUCUUUCCAUCAUGUGAGGAUACAAGGAGAAGUUGGUAGUCUGCAACCUGCAAAAAAUCCUUACAGAACCCGAUCAUACUGGCACCCUGAUCUCGGACUUAUAGCCUC